AGUGAACGCUGGCGGUAGGCCUAACACAUGCAAGUCGAACGGCAGCACAGUAAGAGCUUGCUCUUACGGGUGGCGAGUGGCGGACGGGUGAGGAAUACAUCGGAAUCUACUUUUUCGUGGGGGAUAACGUAGGGAAACUUACGCUAAUACCGCAUACGACCUACGGGUGAAAGCAGGGGAUCUUCGGACCUUGCGCGAUUGAAUGAGCCGAUGUCGGAUUAGCUAGUUGGCGGGGUAAAGGCCCACCAAGGCGACGAUCCGUAGCUGGUCUGAGAGGAUGGUCAGCCACCCUGGAACUGGGACACGGGCCAAACUCCUACGGGAGGGCGCAGUGGGGAAUAUUGGACAAUGGGCGGAAGCCUGAUCCAGCCCUACCGGGUGGGUGAAGAAGGCCUUCGGGUUGUAAAGCCCUUUUGUUGGGAAAGAAAAGCAGCAGGUUAAUACCCCGCUGUUCUGACGGUACCCAAAGAAUAAGCACCGGCUAACUUCGUG
rnacentral:rRNA from 1 species